rnacentral:tRNA from 1 species
GGGCGAUUGGCGCAGUGGUAGCGCGCUUCGUUCACACCGAAGAGGCCGGCAGUUCGAACCUGCCAUCGCCCA